GCCCAGUGAUGAGACGAAGGCAAAUGCGAGUUCACUGAAUUAGAGUUGAGUUCUUCUGCCAAAUCCAGCAGGUAAUCUUGGCAGUGCAGGGGAGGAUUCCUGCACUGCUGUAAGGGCCUGCUGACAGUGACUUGGCUCAACUCGUGUCAUUAUUCCGGUAAAGCUAUGUUGGAAUAAUCAUGAGGAGGAAGCCGACAGUGUGCGUGUGCAUGUGUGUGUUUGUUGUAUGCAACUGGCUAGAGGUGUUUCUCUUCUCUCGUUACUUUUCAGUGAACAAUGAGCUGUGUCUUUGGUAAUCUGAGGGCU